GACGAACGCUGGCGGCGUGCUUAACACAUGCAAGUCGAGCGGUAAGGCCCUUUCGGGGUACGACGAGCGGCGAACGGGUGAGUAACACGUGGGUGACCUGCCCUCAGCUCUGGGAUAAGCCUGGGAAACCGGGUCUAAUACUGGAUAUGACUCCAUGACGCAUGUUGGUGGGGUGGAAAGCCUUGUGCGGCUGAGGAUGGGCCCGCGGCCUAUCAGCUUGUUGGUGGGGUGANGGCCUACCAAGGCGACGACGGGUAGCCGGCCUGAGAGGGCGACCGGCCACACUGGGACUGAGACACGGCCCAGACUCCUACGGGAGGCAGCAGUGGGGAAUCUUGCGCAAUGGGCGAAAGCCUGACGCAGCGACGCCGCGUGAGGGAUGACGG
rnacentral:rRNA from 1 species